AAGUCGUAACAAGGUUUCCGUAGGUGAACCUGCGGAAGGAUCAUUAACAAAGUUUAGGGUAUGUUUUACUUUUUUGCAAAAAAAAGUAAAACAUCACCACUUAUCUACCUUUUGUGCACUUGUUUAUUGUUUUUGGCGUUAUUUCUAUUUGCAAUAGAAAUACGCCGCACAAUUUUAUACUACCCAUAGUUAUUUUAUACCGUACUUUUCACUUGCUUGUGCUUUUAACGGCCAAGUAUACUUAAUGAAAAAUACAACUUUUGACAACGGAUCUCUUGGCUCUC
rnacentral:misc_RNA from 1 species